rnacentral:ncRNA from 1 species
AUAAGUGCUCUUAUUACGUAAGAGUUAAAAGGGAAACUAGUGAAAAUCUAGUACAGCCCCCGCUACUGUAAUGGCUGAUGAAACUACAACAUACCACUGAGAAAUCGGGAAGGUGUAGGAGUAAGAUGAUGCUUAAGUCAGGAAACCUGCUUAUUUA